UAAAACUCAACAGUGACAAAGAGACGAAGUACGGUUCCAGGCUCCAAUUCUCGGAGACUCUCGGAGACUCGAGGGCAGUUUACAUACAGGUCAGACACGCUGGAGGCCAAGGUCAAGUUGAAAGUUGCUGUCUAGUCAGCGUGAGAAACUACAAUGAAAGCCCAGAGACAGAGCCGACUGCCCACCUCCCCUCGCUCUCAAUUCCCCCAUCCUUUGCUAUCUGGCUUCUGGCUCUGUUUGGUUUCUCAGCAUCUUUUUUUUUUCCCUCUCUCUUUGUAGAGUUUUGGGGGCGGUGUUUACAGGCUGGACUGGUUCUUUUCUGUCGGCCGCCCUGCUCUUAGCUGGGUUUCUGAACCUCCGAAGUUUUCCAGCUAGGUUCGGAAAAAACGAAAACACAGCUCAGGAAGGCUCCACCAGCCGAUGCCUAUGCCAGUUCACCUCUGGCAGUGGCUGUACUGCUGGUCCACACAGCAGCCAAGACCAGCUCCACGUUCUUUCCUCCCCCUCAGUUCACUGGAGCCGGGAGCCCUGCACUCAGGGGAAGGGCCUCAGCUCUACAGACUGCCAAAGUCGGCUGGGUCCCUCCGGCUCCAAAAAUGGUGAGAAAGGAACUCAUCUUUUUCCACAGAGGAAUCAGAAGCAGGUACAACGGGACCAGCCUGGAGCCAGCCAUCGGGAAGAGAUAGUAAAGAGAACUCCAACUGCAUCACCCUCUAUUUCUUACCGAGUCUCAAAGAAGGGAGAAGGCACCUCCGCCCGCACCCCUCCCCCGUUUUAGAAGCACUAGCAGCAGGUUUCAGGCUCUGGGGAGCAGCACCCCCUACCCCGCUGCCUGAGAUCCCUUCAACCGAGUGAUUUAGAUGGUGCCGAGAGCUCUCUCCGUGUUCUAAUGGCGUCAUUGCGCUGUCCUUCACCACAUCUGGAAACUGAGACUUCACCUAAAGGACCCUAAUAUGAGUUGGAUGCAGAGGGACCGAAUUCCUGUAAAUAGAGGCUCAACCUGAAGGAAUACGCUUCUUUCCACAGUGAGUGGCAGGCAUCCCGACCAGGGCACCAGCUUGCCGGACUCUGGGAGUGAGCUCAGAGCCACUGGGAUGGAUGCUGGAAGAAUGGGGUACCUCCUGGCAACCCGGCGCCUGCAGCUGCCAUGUGAAAAGGACCCCUUCUCAACCUGGUUGAUGCUCACUGCCCGCAACAAAACAGGAAACCAGCGCCGGGCUUUAUAUCAACAAAUACACCGUAGAUGGUCGAGAGUUUGAAGGAAGUAGCGGGUUUGCGUCUAAGUCUGGUGCUGUUGGACUCGGUGUUUCUCCCUGAGAAAUCAGCGUGGAGCCAGGAGAACUGGGCCCAUAGGGGUCUUCCGUAAGGACACUCCCCAUCUGGCUGUGAAUUCUUAAUAGACAAAGCAACAGAGGGAGGGAAACUCACCAGCAAGGAGAAAGGGGGAAACUCAAGACCCCUUCAAGUACACACUGAGGUGUAAUCAGAUUUUACAGGCACGUUAUAUACUGUAACCAUAGCUAUGUGUGUGCCUUCAUACGCACACGCACAGAUUCACACACCAAAUGUAUACACAGGCACAAGCGUAGUGAAAUACAGUCAUUAUGCCAAGUCCUAAGGGGGGAAAAUCACCUUGUCAAAGCAGCCUGGUGGCCAGUUUCCUGUCCUCUGGUUCAAUUCAGCUUUCUCCAACCACUGGUCCUCCCUCCUGGGUCUGUAAAUACGGUAAAUACACCUGUCUUCAGUGGAAGGUGAGCGGCCCAUCAGCAUUUGUCUGGUUCAGAUGGCCUCCCCUAGAAUCUCUGGACCCUCCCGGAGCUGUUCCGAGCUUGUGAGGGAGCCUCCAGCUGCAGUCCUUUGUCUGUGGGACUAGAUCCCUUCAUGGCCCAAUGCUCUGGGAAACGAAGCAGCUCAAUACAAACUUUUGAUAUUAGUUUUUUAAAGGUAUUUACACUUUGGUGAGAGUAGCUGGGUACGGAAGCUGCUUCGUUAAUCAGCCCCCGACCCCGACCUUAGGUUCGGCUGGGACUAGGAGCUGGCCGGAAAAGAAAAAAAGCUUCGGGAAGUCGGAGAGAAUGAAAAACAAAACAAAACUGCACAAGGUCAUUUUCUGUUCCUGGAAACUGAGUAAGUGGGCCAUUCCAGGGACUCCCCAGUUGGCCACUCCCUCCCGCUUUGUACAGGGAACAUGUUUUCUGCCUUUGCCUAAUACAACAACUACACUUUAAAAUAUAUUUCCCCCCUCCCAAUACAUAUAAAGGUGUAGCAAGCCCCUCUACAUCCAGUUUAUCUUUGACUUUAUUAUCAUCUUAUCUUGCAUACCUUUUUUGAUAAUUAAAGCUUAAUUAUAUCCCAGGUAUUGAACUGCUUCAUUCUCAAUAGAAGGUUUUGAGAAUUUUUAAGAUUGUGAGAAAGGGGUGAACUGGAGUUGUUUGAGGCAAGGACUAUUGAGAGCCCAAGGUUUCACCAAGAAGGAACCUGGAGCAAAAAAGAUUUGGGAUCUUAUCUGAAAUUGUAUGUGUCUUCUUUAUAAAAAUUACACAUGCGGGGGAGGGUUAUAUCAACUUCUUCUCUGAGUCCUUUCACUGAAGAUUUCUGUUCGUUUAAGAUUGAUGUGGGGGUGCCCUGUGUCCUAACUUGAUACAUUUUCACGUUAAGCAAAUGCUUAUUUCCUAUUUCAAAACAUCUCUUUCCCUAUAGACAUCUCAUAGAAAUUUCUAAUGCUUAAACUAAGAGAAGAAAGGGUGGACUGAAUUGAUAUCAAAGUUACCAUGGUUUUCUAGAAAAAAAAAUGUAGCUCUGUACGCCUUUUAAAAUAUUCCUUCUGCAACAAGAGAUUUUUAAAAUACUGAAUAAAAGCACGAAUGUUUUGUUUGCAU
rnacentral:lncRNA from 1 species